UACGGGGGGGGCAAGCGUUGUUCGGAAUUACUGGGCGUAAAGGGCUCGUAGGUUGCCAACUAAGUCAGACGUGAAAUCCCUCGGCUUAACCGGGGAACUGCGUCUGAUACUGGAUGGCUUGAGUUCGGGAGAGGGAUGCGGAAUUCCAGGUGUAGUGGUGAAAUGCGUAGAGAUCGGGAGGAACACCUGUGGCGAAGGCGGCCGACUGGGCCGACCCUGACGCUGAGGCGCGAGAGCGUGGGGAGCGAACCGG
rnacentral:rRNA from 1 species